UGGGGAAUUUUGGACAAUGGGCGCAAGCCUGAUCCAGCAAUGCCGCGUGCAGGAUGAAGGCCUUCGGGUUGUAAACUGCUUUUGUACGGAACGAAACGGUCUUUUCUAAUACAGAAGGCUAAUGACGGUACCGUAAGAAUAAGCACCGGCUAACUACGUGCCAGCAGCCGCGGUAAUACGUAGGGUGCGAGCGUUAAUCGGAAUUACUGGGCGUAAAGCGUGCGCAGGUGGUUUGUUAAGUCUGAUGUGAAAGCCCUGGGCUCAACCUGGGAAUUGCAUUGGAUACUGGCAGGCUAGAGUGCGGUAGAGGAUGGCGGAAUUCCCGGUGUAGCAGUGAAAUGCGUAGAGAUCGGGAGGAACACCGAUGGCGAAGGCAAUCCCCUGGGCCUGCACUGACGCUCAUGCACGAAAGCGUGGGGAGCAAACA
rnacentral:rRNA from 1 species